rnacentral:rRNA from 1 species
GACGAACGCUGGCGGCGGGCUUAACACAUGCAAGUCGAACGAGCUGGCGAACGGGUGAGUCAUACGUGGGUAACCUGCCCUCCUGUAUGGGAUAAGCCUUGGAAACGGGGUCUAAUACCGAAUCAAGGGGGAUGGGGUCGCGGCCUAUCGGCUGGUUGGUGGGGUAAUGGCCUACCAAGGCGGUGACGGGUAACUGGCCUGAGAGGGUGAUCGGCCACAUUGGAACUGAGAUACGGCCCAGACUCCUACGGGAGGCAGCAGUGGGGGAUAUUGGACAAUGGGCGAAAGCCUGAUGCAGCGAAGCCGCGUGGGGGAUGAAGGCUUUCGGGUUGUAAAGUACUUUCAGCGGGGAGGCGUUACCCGCAGAAGAAGCACCGGCUAACUCCGUGCCAGCAGCCGCGGUAAUUC